rnacentral:tRNA from 1 species
AGGGAUAAAGCUCAGUGGUAGAGUUCUUGCCUAGCAUGUAAUAGGCCCUGGGUUCAACCCAGCAUCACAC